rnacentral:rRNA from 1 species
UUAGGUUAAGUUAGAAAGGGCGCACGGUGGAUGCCUUGGCACUAGGAGCCGAUGAAGGACGGGACUAACACCGAUAUGCUUCGGGGAGC